CAACCCUAUAAGCUGAGAAUUAUUUCCUUCCAUAGCUUCACAUAUAAGAGAAAGAUUGGGAUGAUGGAAAGUCACAUGAGCUCUUAACUGCCCUGGGGCUUAUGGCUGGCCCCAACCAUAAGCAAGGGAGGCUGUCAAAUUUGGGGAGCACGUAUACAUAUUUAAUGACCAUUUAUUGUCUCUGCCAUGUAAGUGUGGGCCUCUUUCUGGUUUCUUUAUUCUGUUCCUGGUCUAUUUGUAUAUCCUUGCAACAAUUCCUUAAUUGUUAAAGCUUUGUAAUAAGUUUCAAUAUCUGCUUGUACAAGUCCCUCAUCUAGAAAUAUUGGUGAAAGAAAAAAGACUAUAAAAUAUUAGGAAUGAACAGGGAUGUAUAACUAUGGACAUGGCAAUAUUUAAAGAUAAGAGAAUACCAAGAGUGACUUUAAGCCAAAACAUUUGAAAUUUUAGAUCAAAGAACAAAUUCCAAGGAAAUCAUAAUGUAUCAAAAUUGACUAAAGAAAAAAUAAAAUAUCUGAAUAGUCUCAUAUAAUAUUAAAUAUUUGAUUCAUAUUAUAACUAUCCUACAAAGAAUAGUUUGUAUAAAGAAAAUAGAAUAGAUUCUACAAAGAAAGUAUUUUACCGAAAUGAUAUUUGAGUGAGUUCUACCAAAUAUUCAAGCAACAGGUAACAUCAAUCUUAUACAAAAUUUUUAGAGGAUAAAAAUUUAAAAGAAACACAUUCUAAUAUAUUAUAUGAAGCUGAAAUACCAUUAACACCAAAACUAGAAAAUCCCAGUAUAAGAAAAUAAUAUUGUAUUUCAACCAAGAGGUACAAAUCUUAAAAUAAAAUACAAUUAUCAGUGUAUAACCCAUGGUGAUUUUAAAAAGAUGAGAAUCCAUGACCAUAUUAUGAUUAUCCCAGAAAUAUAAGGAUGGUUUAAUCUCAGGCAAUUUAUUAAUAUUGUAUAUCAUAUAUAGAGUAAGGGAAAAACUGAUAUUAAUAGAUGCAAAAAUAGUUUUAUCAUAGUAUCCAAUAUCUAUUCUUGAUACUCUCUUGGGAAACCAGGAAGAGAGGAGGCCAUUCUUAACCCGAUAAAUGAUGUCUACUGAAAACCUAGAAGUAAGUCUCAUACUCUUUAAAACACUGGUUCUCUUUAAAUCAGGAGCAAUACAAGAAUUACUAUUAUCAAUUAUUUUAUUUAAUGUUUUAUUGGAGUUGCUGGCCAAUGCAGCAAGGUAAGAAAAUAACAAAGGUAAAAAACACUGUAAUAAAAUGAACAGAGCUAUUAUUAUUUGAAGAUAAUAUGACCUGUCUACAUGGUAAACCCACCAAAAAAUGCUUGUUUUUUACUGUUGAGAAGCUGGGUCAUAUUCGACAGUCAAGAAUUCUGGAAUAAGUUUUCAUCAAAUCCCUAUUGAACUGCAUAGUAUACACUGCACUGAAAAGUAUGAUUAUGAGAGCCAGGUAAUAGCAUAAAAACUAUUUGUUAAGUCAAAAGAGAUUACAAAGAUAUAUGUGCAUAGAAAAAAAGAGUAGAUGGGAAUAUUGCUUGGUGCUACAGGGGGUUAGGUGGCAAGAUCAUGAAUUAAUUUUCCAUAUAUUCUUUAUGUCCCAUAUCUUCUGUGUUGUGCCUAUAUUUUUUAUAACAAAAGUAUUUUUAAAAUUUGUACUAAUGAGAACCUUUGGAAUCUUCCUGCAGAGUUAGUGAUGCUUGUUGACUUGUGUCAGAGAGUCGUUGAAGACAAUACAGUUUCACCUAACCUUUAACUGCACAAAAGAAGGCACAGGUUCAGAGUCGGGAAAACCACACCAGGAUGCUUGAGUAGUGGUCUGCUUGAGCAAAUGGUGGUGAAAACUGGAAAGAAGGAGAAGGAGCAAAGAGGAGGUGGGCUGUGUCGUGCUGGGUGGUGUCACAUUGACUAGGGUAAGGAGCGGCAGUGG